GACGAACGCUGGCGGCGUGCUUAACACAUGCAAGUCGAACGGAAAGGCCCUGCUUUUGUGGGGUGCUCGAGUGGCGAACGGGUGAGUAACACGUGAGUAACCUGCCCUUGACUUUGGGAUAACUUCAGGAAACUGGGGCUAAUACCGGAUAGGAGCUCCUGCUGCAUGGUGGGGGUUGGAAAGUUUCGGCGGUUGGGGAUGGACUCGCGGCUUAUCAGCUUGUUGGUGGGGUAGUGGCUUACCAAGGCUUUGACGGGUAGCCGGCCUGAGGGGGUGACCGGCAACAUGGGGACGGAGAGCCGGCCCGACCCCCAGCGGGGGGGAGCAGUGGGGAAUUUUGACCAAGGGGCGGAACCCUGAUGCAGCAACCCCGCGUGCGGGAGGACGGCCCCCGGGUUGUAAACCUCUUUCCCCUGGGACGAAGCGUGAGGGACGGUAAUGGGUAAAGAAGCACCGGCUAACUACGG
rnacentral:rRNA from 1 species